UUUUCGCAAUGCCCGAAAGGGUGACGAAGCGACGCCGCGUGGGUGAGGAAGGCCUUCGGGUUGUAAAGCCCUGUCAGGAGUUAAGAAAUGUAAGUGCGCUAAUACCGCAUUUAUUUGACGAAGGCUCCAAAGGAAGCCACGGCUAACUCUGUGCCAGCAGCCGCGGUAAUACAGAGGUGGCAAGCGUUGUUCGGAAUUAUUGGGCGUAAAGAGCACGUAGGUGGGUUUGUAAGUCAGAUGUGAAAGCCUUCUGUUCAACGGAAGAAUUGCAUCUGAAACUGCGAGUCUUGAGUGUAGGAGGGGAGAAUGGAACUUCUGGUGGAGCGGUGAAAUGCGUAGAUAUCAGAAGGAACGCCGGCGGCGAAAGCGAUUCUCUGGCCUAUUACUGACACUCAGUGUGCGAAAGCUAGGGGAGCAAACGGGAUUAGAUACCCCGGUAGUCCUAGCCGUAAACGAUGGGCACUAAGUAGAGGGGUU
rnacentral:rRNA from 1 species